GCUCGAGUGGCGAACGGGUGAGUAACACGUGAGUAACCUGCCCUUGACUUUGGGAUAACUUCAGAAAACUGGGGCUAAUACCGGAUAGGAGCUCCUGCUGCAUGGUGGGGGUUGGAAAGUUUCGGCGGUUGGGGAUGGACUCGCGGCUUAUCAGCUUGUUGGUGGGGUAGUGGCUUACCAAGGCUUUGACGGGUAGCCGGCCUGAGAGGGUGACCGGCCACAUUGGGACUGAGAUACGGCCCAG
rnacentral:rRNA from 1 species